UCUGCGUAGUGAGGAGGGCUUUGCCUCAC
rnacentral:sRNA from 1 species